AAAGUUCCGGCGCUUAGAGAUUGGUGUGCGUCUGAUUAGCUAGUUGGGCGGGGUAACGGCCCACCAAGGCGACGAUCAGUAGGGGGUGUGAGAGCAUGACCCCCCACAUGGGUACUGAGACACGAACCCAACUCCUACGGGAGGCAGCAGUAAGGAAUAUUGGACAAUGGGGCGGAAGCCUGAUCCAGCCAUGCCGCGUGAAGGAUGAAGGCGCUCAGCGUUGUAAACUUCUUUUGGAUGGGGACAAUAACUUUCAUUUAUGAGAGCUUGAGGGUACCAUCAGAAUAAGCACCGGCUAACUCCGUG
rnacentral:rRNA from 1 species